rnacentral:rRNA from 1 species
CCUACGGGUGGCUGCAGUGAGGAAUAUUGGUCAAUGGGCGGGAGCCUGAACCAGCCAAGUCGCGUGAGGGAAGAAGGUACUGAGUAUUGUAAACCUCUUUUGCCAGGGGACAAAGGCGGCCACGGGUGGCCGUAAGAGGGUACCUGGAGAACAAGCAUCGGCAAACGCCGUGCCAGCAGCCGCGGUAAUACGGGGGAUGCGAGCGUUAUCCGGAUUUAUUGGGGUAAAGGGGUGCGUGGGCGGGCUUUUAAGUCAGCGGUAAAAGUUCGGGGCUCAACCCCGACCGGCCGUUGAAACUGGGGGCCUUGAGUGGGCGAGAGGAAGGCGGAAUGCGUGGUGUAGCGGUGAAAUGCAUAGAUAUCACGCAGAACCCCGAUUGCGAAGGCAGCCUUCCGGAGCGCUACUGACGCUGAGGCACGAAAGUGCGGGGAUCGAACAGGAUUAGAUACCCGGGUAGUC